GUUGUUCGUUUUGUUCUUAUUCGCUGACAUUUGUUUUCUAAUUGCUUGAAAUUUGGUAAUUUCCUUAGUGUUUUCCUGGCCGACCUGUGCUGGUAUUGUAAUUAAGAGCUAAUACACCAUUCUCUGGUGAACUGCAGCUGCGGCCGAAUUUGAUUGUGUGCAUCAUCCUGCAGAUAUUUUGAAAUUUUGUGGACGCUUCUGUUGUGCUGCGUUCCUGCUCCGCCCGUGUUUUAUAGUGUUGCGUCCCUGUUGCGCCUUUGCAAUAGUGUGUGCGUUGUGCUUUAGACACGUUGAAAUUGUUUAUAUGCUUCUGCUGUGCUGCGUUCCUGCUUCACCCGUGUAUUAAAUUGCAGCGUUCCUGUUAACAUAAGCAUCGUCGUUUAAGUACAAAACCGCCGUAACUGACAUUUGAUGCUAAAAAUUGGAUUUGCUCACACAAGUUCUUGGCUCAAUCCUUAUCCAUUCUUCCUGAUACAUACUAGCCAAAAAUGCGAUUGCUUUUUAAAAAAAGAUAACCAUUUUGAAAUAUGAGUGUUUUCACUCUCUAGAAAAUAAUGUAUGCAACCUCGCUGGGUUUGCAUUAUCUUGAUACGCGGUUUGGCAUUUUACUGAUACACGGUUUU
rnacentral:lncRNA from 1 species